UCUUCGCGCGGGCCUGCAGCCUGGGACCUGAUUGAGAAGAACAGGGGACGCCACGCGCCCGCCAGCCCGCGGCGGCGCAGUCCGCCUGGCUCCGGAGGCGCGGGGGCGCACCAUGCCUGCAGACACCCCAGGGAAGCCGAGAGCCUCGCCGCUGGCAGGAGCGCCGGCCAGCGCCAACAGAACCCCGAAUAAGCCCCGAAGCGCGGCGGAGCACCGAAAGGUGGGGACCUGGCGGGGCGUGGGUUGGGAGGCGUGGGGUGGGACGGACGGAUGCGGGACUCAGCCACAGCCCGACCCACAGUCCUCCAAGCCGGUCAUGGAGAAGCGGCGCCGAGCGCGCAUCAACGAAAGCCUCGCGCAGCUCAAGACCCUCAUCCUGGACGCCUUCAGGAAGGAUAGUUCCCGCCAUUCGAAGCUGGAGAAAGCAGACAUCCUGGAGAUGACCGUGAGGCACCUGCAGAGCCUGCGACGUGUGCAGGUGACAGCCGCGCUCAGCGCUGACCCCGCCGUCCUGGGCAAGUACCGCGCCGGCUUCAAUGAGUGUCUAGCGGAGGUGAAUCGCUUCUUGGCCGGCUGCGAGGGCGUCCCGGCCGACGUGCGUUCUCGCCUGCUUGGCCACCUGGCCGCCUGCCUGGGCCAGCUGGGGCCGUCGCGCCGCCCGGCUCCACCGUCCCCCGCUGCGGAGGCCCGGGCGCCCGAGCUCUACGCCGGUUGCCCGCCGCUCCUGGCAUUCGACCGCCCCUUACCCCUGCUGCGCCCUGGGUCUGCCUUCGCGUUGCGGCUCUCUCCAGGCCUGACUGGGGAGCCCCCCAACGCCCCUAGGGCGGGGCUGCAGAACCGGGGCGCGCCAUGGAGGCCGUGGCUGCGGUGAGGCCUCGACCCUCAGACUGUAACGGAGGCUGCACCCCGUUCUAGGGCCGUGGCCUUUGCUGAGUGUACCAGAGAAUAUUUGUUUCUAGAGGCCAGGUCGAGAGAGUUUUGAUAUUUUUUUGUCUUUGUGAAGACUCUAGUCUGGCGUUUCUUUCAGCCCUUAGUUCUGGGGUGGGGGUGGGGGGCUCUGCUGGUUGCGUUGUGCUGGACUUCUGGGGUGGGCCUGCGGGUGGCCCUUCCCCAGGCUCUUGUACCCCGUGCCGGCCGGUCCUCUAGCCCAGGGCUUGGUCGGUGGACCUGCCUCUGUGCAGUAGCCAGCCACCCUCCUGGAAGUGUGGGUGAUGUGGGAAGCCACUCAGGAAAGUGACAGUCAUCACAUUUCCCACAACGUAUCCCAUUGUUGGAAACCAGUCUGGUGGCAUCACUGGGCAAGGAUUUUUGUUUGUUUUUUAAGGUACCUUAUCCCACUCCCACUCCUGUGGACCUUGGAAGGUGAAGACAUUGUCACACUCUUGUCCUGGGCCACUGGGCAUGGUGAGAGGUGAUCAUGCCCUGAGGCUUCAGUUCUGGCUUGGUCCGCUUCCUACUUUAUUCUCAUGGUUCAACACAAAGCUGCCUGGACUGAGCCUGCCCCAGGCCAGUGUCUGGUCAGGAGACGAGUGCCAGCAGGAGAGGGUGACUGAGUCCUGAGGACAGGGAACUGGGGCAAGACUGGCCAAGAGCACUUAGUGCCAAGAUUUGGGGGGGGUGGUAACUCUCCUACCAGAGUCCAGUCCUGCUGUGUGCCCUGGGAGGGGAGGUCUCCCCCCUGGUGGGGAAAGAUUGGAGGGUCGUCCUGCCCAUGUCUCUGCUCUGAGCACCCGCUGUGUGGCAGCCCUACAGUCCUGGGCAGUAAUGCUGAGCAGCAUCGGACAUCAGCCCUGGAGUCACCGUCCUGCGGUCCCAGGUCUCCCUGAGCUGCUGCUGGGCACUGGACUCCGGUUGUAAUGAGGGGGUGAUCUGAGUCAUACAAGCUGAGACUGGAGUGUCUCAUCCUGAGCCCAUCUGAGGCUGAGCCAAGACUUAUUUCCCAAGUGCAGCUGAAUUCAUCAGAUGGUUGCCGGCCGCCUGCCUGGCCAGGGCCCAUCAAGGAGAAAGAGGACACUUCCUGCUGAAUAAUAGAUGAAGCACCUUCUCCUGUCAAGGCUAUGUGGUAGGGGUGGGGGAGGAAUCAGGACCUCCUCCUGGGGAGGAGGCUAGAAGGCCUCCUGAUCAUUUCCCCUCCACCGGGAGGUGGAGUCUCGUUCAGUGUCUGGGGUCUCCUUCCAGCCCAGUUCCUGGCAAAGACCAAGAGCCAAUAAAUGUUUGCUAAAUUCAUGUG